GACGAACGCUGGCGGCGUGCUUAACACAUGCAAGUCGAGCGGUAAGGCCCUUUCGGGGGUACGACGAGCGGCGAACGGGUGAGUAACACGUGGGUGACCUGCCUCUAGCUCUGGGAUAAGCCCGGGAAACUGGGUCUAAUACUGGAUAUGACUCCAUGACGCAUGUUGUGGGGUGGAAAGCCUUGUGCGGCUAGAGAUGGGCCCGCGGCCUAUCAGCUUGUUGGGGGGUG
rnacentral:rRNA from 1 species